rnacentral:rRNA from 1 species
UACAGAGGUCUCAAGCGUUGUUCGGAUUCAUUGGGCGUAAAGGGUGCGUAGGUGGCGCCGUAAGUCGGAUGUGAAAUUUCGGAGCUUAACUCCGAAACUGCAUUCGAUACUGCGGUGCUUGAGGACUUGGAGAGGAGACUGGAAUUCAUGGUGUAGCAGUGAAAUGCGUAGAGAUCAUGAGGAAGACCAGUGGCGAAGCGGGUCUCUGGACAGUUCCUGACACUGAGACACGAAGGCCAGGGGAGCAAACGGG